rnacentral:pre_miRNA from 1 species
CAGCUACUCCCUCCGUUCGAAAUUACUUGUCUCAGAAAUGGAUAUAUCUAGAACUAAAAUACGUCUAGAUACAUCCAUUUCCGCGACAAGUAAUUCCGAACGGAGGGAGUAGGUG